UACGUAGGUGGCAAGCGUUGUCCGGAAUUAUUGGGCGUAAAGCGCGUGCAGGCGGCCUUGCAAGUCGGACGUGAAAUCCCACGGCUCAACCGUGGAAGGGCAUUCGAAACUGCGAGGCUGGAGUCCUGGAGAGGAAAGUGGAAUACUCGGUGUAGAGGUGAAAUUCGUAGAUAUCGAGUGGAACACCGGUGGCGAAGGCGGCUUUCUGGACAGGUACUGACGCUGAGACGCGAAAGCGUGGGGAGCAAACAGG
rnacentral:rRNA from 1 species